GGGCCCUUAGCUCAGCGGUUAGAGCAGGGAACUCAUAAUUCCUUGGUCGCGGGUUCGAAUCCUGCAGGGCCUA
rnacentral:tRNA from 1 species